UCUUACCGGAUUCCAUCCCACUUCUUACCGGAUUCCAUCAUCCCACUUCUUACCGGAUUCCAUCAUCCCACUUCUUACCGGAUUCCAUCCCACUUCUUACCGGAUUCCAUCAUCCCACUUCUUACCGGAUUCCAUCAUCCCACUUCUUACCGGAUUCCAUCAUCCCACUUCUUACCGGAUUCCAUCAUCCCACUUCUUACCGGAUUCCAUCAUCUCACUUCUUACGGAUUCCAUCAUCCCACAUCUUACCGGAUUCCAUCAUCCCACUUCUUACCGGAUUCCAUCAUCUCACUUCUUACUGGAUUCCAUCUGCUUACCGGAUUCCAUCAUCCUAACCGUCUAGAAUCCAACAGGGGAAGCCAUUUUGUUUCUAUGGUGAUUUAGGUGUUCUGUAAAACCCUAUAAACACCUGUAACUUGCCAUAUUCUCCAUCAUCCCCAGGCUUCUGGACAGUUGAAAUGAUUAAAUCCUACCCUAAAUAAUUCUUUGGUUGAUUUAUAUCGGGCCAAAGGCUUACGGUGGCCCAGAAUGUUGCUGUUGGUUCUAUUGAAAUGAGGUCACCUCCUAGCACACAUGCUAUUUUUUCCAAGUCAAUGUUUGGAGAUCGAUGAAUUUAAAAUUUAAGCCCACUCCUUACCUGAUACAGCAGAAAAUGCUCGUGAUCAGAUACAGGGAGUCUGCUUGUUUUCCCAGGCUCACGGUGCCAUCAUGUGGCAGGAUUGGAAAGUCCCCUGAGGGCACAGUCUGGACGGUCACUGUGCUAAGAUGAACCCUGCGAGGCGGUGCUGACGACGCCACGACCGUCGGAGUGAAGGAGAGUCGCCGGUCUGCCCGCGAGGUUGGCACCUGUGACGGAGCGGCUACACCUCCCUCAGGGACCUCAAGGCUAAGCUCUCCAGACAAGGUUACUGUCUGCACCGAGGACCAAGUCAGCAUCUUCACCAGGAGUAGACUCCAUCUCAAGAAACCAUUUGCUUUGCUCAUCCACAAGAAGCAACUGGUCAUCCAUUAAAGCUUUAUCGUGAGAUUGCAACAAUUCAGCCACAUCUUCAGGCUCCACUUCCGAUCCUAGUUCUCCUGCUGUUUCCACCACAUUUGCAGUUACUUCCUCCACUGAAGACUUGACUCCUCAGAGUCAUCCAUGAGAGUUGGAAUCAACUUCUUACCAAAAUGUGACACACAGACACAAAAUCUUGAGCACUCGACUGUAGCCAUGAGGCUUUGAAGGAAGACGAGGUGUAAGAAAUCCAUCUUGGACAGAACAGCUCAGCCUGAAGCCCGUCUAAGUGAGUGCUUAAUGAUGCCCCACCCCCCAACACGGAGACUGAGAUCAAGAAGAAUGGAGGAAAAGCUUAAAUUUAAGCAGACAGUAAGUAGA
rnacentral:lncRNA from 1 species